rnacentral:rRNA from 1 species
UACAGAGGGUGCAAGCGUUGUUCGGAAUUAUUGGGCGUAAAGGGCGCGUAGGCGGUGCCACAAGUCACCUGUGAAAGCCCCGGGCUCAACCUGGGAGGUGCGCUUGAUACUCGAGGGCUUGAGUGCGGGAGAGGAGAGUGGAAUUCCCAGUGUAGAGGUGAAAUUCGUAGAUAUUGGGAAGAACACCCGUGGCGAAAGCGGCGCGCUGGACCACUACUGACGCUGAGGAGCGAAAGCUAGGGGAGCAAACAGG